GCGGAACUGGCGGAAUUGGUAGACGCGCAUGAUUCAGGUUCAUGUGGUGCAAACCUUCCGGGUUCGAGUCCCGGGUUCCGCA
rnacentral:tRNA from 1 species